CGGGAUUCUUUAAGUUGCGACGAGUUCGACGCGCCGUUCAGGGCCAUUGUCUGUGGCCGUGGCGACGGAGCACGCACUGUUGGACAACAAGGUGCGUGGUAUCCGGGCCGGUUGCUAGCAGGCGAUGUGGGUCUAGAAGACCUUCUACGGCUCACCGACGAGGCAUUCCGACGGGCAGAAGUCCAGGUGAGGUUGAAUUCUCCGGCAAGGCCCUCUCCCCUUCUUUCUCUUGUGUGUGUCUUCUCCUCCGCCUGGGCGUUGAUCUGAGGCAGGAGGCACAGCGGUUGCAAGGUGGGAUGGUGGAGGCUGUGGGAGGCCUCCAGAAAGUGUGGCCAGAAGUGGUGGUGCCGACGGUCCCGACGGCACGCGGCGCAGGUCGUGCUCAACGGCCAUGGUGACGGCCAGUGCAGGGCACGCGCGACUCUGCGAUGGUGAGCACAAGGCCAUGAAUGUUGGGUCAACCUGGUCUUCGGAUGGUCUUCCACAUGCAUGUAGCAGCACAACUUGCAUGCAACGGCAGUAGUAGUUAUUACUUAGCUAUGAAGUGAUAGAAGGUAGUAGUAGCUGCAUGUCGGCAGUAGUAAUUUCCUGAGCAGUAGAGGAGGCGUGGCUUAGUAGCUAAGCUUUACAACGUAAGUCAUGAUGUCAUUUAGGCACUUGACGUCAGCACAUGCGUUCUAUAGUCGGUUUGUAAUCCUCUAUAAAAGGAGCACUACUCCAUCGAUGUAAUAUCAUUCCACUCCGAUCAAUUCAAGUAGUAUCUUUUCUCAAGUGUAGCUCCAUCGGUGCAUGCUUCACUAGUGUGUGUGUGCGUAUUAGCCUAGAGAGCCUGAGCGUACCAUCACUUUGCUCUUUCGCCGGUCAUCUAUCAGUAUACUCGAGUGCUAGCGAGUAGUUCUGGGCUAACAAUUGGCAUCAGAGCCUCUGGUUGUGGUAGCCAUGGCCGGUGGUAAAGGAGUUCAGCAGCGCACCACCUCGGGUGGUUCCCAGGCGCGGCCAUCACAGGACGGCUCCCAGUCGCCGGCUCCGGAGGAGCAGCGAGGGCGCAGCUGUUGGGGAACGUUGCAGAAAAUUAAAAUUUUUCCUACGGUUUCACCAAGAUCCAUCUAUGAGUUCAUCUAAGCAACGAGUCAAGGGAGAGAGUUUGCAUCUACAUACCACUUGUAGAUCGCGUGCGGAAGCUUGCAAGGUGAUGAUGUAGUCGUACUCGACGUGAUUCGAAUCACCGAUGACCAAGUGCUGAACGGACAGCACCUUCGCGUUCAACACACGUACGGGAUGGGAGACGUCUCCUCCUUCUUGAUCCAGCAAGGGGGGAGGAGAGGUUGAGGAAGACAGCUCCACCGGCAGCACGACGGCGUGGUGAUGGUGGAGAGGCAGUACUCCGACAGGGCUUCGCCAAGCACACAACUGAGGAGGAGAGGUGUUGGGGAGGGGAGGGCUGCGCCUUGGAGGGUGGUUCGGCUGCUCUCCCCUCACCCCUCUAUUUAUAGGGGGAAGGGAGAAGGGGGCCGGCCCCCUAGAACCCAUCUAGGGGGGGGGGUGCGGCGGCCUAGGGGAGAGGGGAGAGGGUGGCUUGCCCCCCAAGCCAAGGGGGGCGCCCCCUCUAGGGUUCCCCCUCAACCCUAGGCGCAUGGGCCCAAGGGAGGGGGUGUGGCCAGCCCACCAGGGGCUGGCUCCCUGCCCCACGCAGCCCAUGUGGCCCCCCGGGAGGGGUGGCCCCUCCCGGUGGACCCCCGAAACCCUUCCGGUGGCCCCGGUACAAUACCGGUAUGACCCCGAAACUUCCCGGUGUCCAUUUGACAACUUCCCAUAUAUAAAUCUUUACAUCCGGACCCUUCCGGAUCACCUUGUGACGUCCAGGAUCCCAUCCGGGACUCCGAACAACAUUCGGUAGUCACAUACUAGUCUUCCUAAUAACCCUAGCGUCACCGAACCUUAAGUGUGUAGACCCUACGGGUUCGGGAGACAUGCAGACAUGACCGAGACGCUCUCAGUCAAUAACCAUCAGCGGGAUCUGGAUACCCAUGAUGGCUCCCACAUGCUCCUCGAUGUUGUCAUCGGAUGAACCAUGAUGUCGAGGAUUCGAUCAAACCCUGUAUGCAAUUCCCUUUGUCAAUCGGUACGUUACUUGCCCGAGACUCGAUCGUCGGUAUCCCAAUACCUUGUUCAGUCUCGUUACCGGCAAGUCACUUUACUCGUACCGUAAUGCAUGAUCCCGUGUCCAACACCUUGGUCACAUUGAGCUCAAUAUGAUGAUGCAUUACCGAGUGGGCCCAGAGAUACCUCUCCGUCAUACGGAGUGACAAAUCCCAGUCUCGAUCCGUGUCAACCCAACAGCUACUUUCGGAGAUACCUGUAAUGCACCUUUAUAGUCACCCAGUUACGUUGUGACGUUUGAUACACCCAAGGCACUCCUACGGUAUCCGGGAGUUACAUGAUCUCAUGGUCUAAGGAAGAGAUACUUGACAUUGGCAAAGCUCUAGCAAAACGAACUACACGAUCUUUUAUGCUAUGCUUAGGAUUGGGUCUUGUCCAUCACAUCAUUCUCCUAAUGAUGUGAUCCCGUUAUCAACGACAUCCAAUGUCCAUAGUCAGGAAACCAUGACUAUCUGUUGAUCACAACGAGCUGGUCAACUAGAGGCUCACCAGGGACAUAUUGUGGUCUAAGUAUUCACACGUGUAUUACGAUUUCCGGACAAUACAGUUAUAGCAUGAAUAAAAGACAAUUAUCAUGAACAAUGAAAUAUAAUAAUACUUUUAUUAUUGCCUCUAGGGCAUAUUUCCAACAGUCUCCCACUUGCACUAGAGUCACCAAUCUAGUUAUAUUGUGAUGAAUCGAACACCCAUAGAGUUCUGGUGUUGAUCAUGUUUUGCACGCGAGAGAGGUUUAGUCAGCGGAUCUGCGACAUUCAGAUCCGUGUGCACUUUGCAAAUAUCUAUGUCUCCAUCUUGAACAUUUUCACGGAUGGAGUUGAAAUGACGCUUGAUGUGCCUGGUCUUCUUGUGAAACUUGGGCUCCUUGGUGAGGGCAAUAGCUCCAGUGUUGUCACAGAAGAGUUUGAUCGGCCCCGACGCAUUGGGUAUGACUCCUAGGUCGGUGAUGAACUCCUUCACCCAAAUCGCUUCAUGCGCUGCCUCCGAGGCUGCCAUGUACUCCGCUUCACACGUAGAUCCCGCCACGACGCUCUGCUUGCAGCUGCACCAGCUUACUGCUCCACCAUUCAACAUAUACACCUAUCCGGUUUGUGACUUAGAGUCAUCCAGAUCUGAGUCGAAGCUAGCGCCGACGUAUCCCUUUACGACGAGCUCUUCGUCUCCUCCAUAAACGAGAAACAUGUCCUUCGUCCUUUUCAGGUACUUCAGGAUAUUCUUGACCGCUGUCCAGUGUUCCUUGCCGGGAUUACUUUGGUAUCUUGCUACCAAACUUACGGCAAGGUUUACAUCGGGUCUGGUACACAGCAUGGCAUACAUAAUAGAUCCUAUGGCUGAAGCAUAGGGGAUGACACUCAUCUCUUCUUUAUCUUUUGCCGUGGUCGGUGACUGAGCUGAGCUCAGUCUCACACCUUGUAACAUAGGCAAGAACCCCUUCUUGGACUGAUUCAUUCUGAAUCUCUUCAAAAUCUUAUCAAGGUAUGUGCUUUGUGAAAGACCUAUGAGGCGUCUCGAUCUAUCUCUAUAGAUCUUGAUGCCUAAUAUAUAAGCAGCUUCUCCAAGGUCCUUCAUUGAAAAACACUUAUUCAAGUAGGCCUUAAUGCUGUCCAGAAAUUCUAUAUUAUUUCCCAUCAAGAGUAUGUCAUCUACAUAUAAUAUGAGAAAUGCUACAGAGCUCCCACUCACUUUCUUGUAAACGCAGGCUUCUCCAUAAGUCUGCAUAAACCCAAAUGCUUUGAUCAUCUCAUCAAAGCGAAUGUUCCAACUCCGAGAUGCUUGCAUCAGUCCAUAAAUGGAUCGCUGGAGCUUGCAUACUUUGUUAGUGUUCCGAGGAUCGACAAAACCUUCCGGCUGCAUCAUAUACAGUUCUUCCUUAAGAUGCCCGUUAAGGAAUGCUGUUUUGACGUCCAUCUGCCAUAUCUCAUAAUCAUAGUAUGCGGCAAUUGCUAACAUGAUUCGGACGGACUUUAGCUUCGCUACGGGAGAGAAUGUCUCGUCGUAGUCAAUCCCUUGAACCUGUCGAUAACCCUUAGCGACAAGUCGAGCUUUAUAGAUGGUAAUAUUACCAUCCGCGUCCGUCUUCUUCUUAAAGAUCCAUUUGUUUUCUAUCGCUCGCCGAUCAUCGGGCAAAUCUGUCAAAGUCCAUACUUUGUUUUCAUACAUGGAUUCUAUCUCGGAUUUCAUGGCUUCAAGCCAUUUGUUGGAAUCCGGGCCCGCCAUUGCUUCUUCAUAGUUCGAAGGUUCAUUGUUGUCUAACAACAUGAUUUCCAGGACAGGGUUGCCGUACCACUCUGGUGCGGAACGUGUCCUUGUGGACCUACGAAGUUCAGCAGUAACUUGAUCCGAAGUACCUUGAUCAUUAUCAUUGUUUUCCUCUUCAGUUGGUGUGGGCAUCACAGGAACGGUUUCCUGCGCUGCGCCACUUUCCCGCUCAAGAGGUAGUACUUCAUCGAGUUCUACUUUCCUCCCACUUACUUCUUUCGAGAGAAACUCUUUUUCCAGAAAGCAUCCGUUCUUGGCAACAAAGAUCUUGCCUUCGGAUCUUAAGUAGAAGGUAUACCCUACAGUUUCCUUAGGGUAUCCUAUGAAUACGCAUUUUUCCGACUUGGGUUUGAGCUUUUCAGGUUGAAGUUUCUUGACAUAAGCAUCGCAUCCCCAAACUUUUAGAAACGACAACUUGGGUUUCUUUCCAAACCAUAAUUCAUACGGUGUCGUCUCAACGGAUUUAGACGGUGCCCUAUUUAAAGUGAAUGCAGCUGUCUCUAGAGCGUAUCCCCAAAAUGAUAGCGGUAAAUCGGUAAGAGACAUCAUAGACCGCACCAUAUCCAAUAGGGUGCGAUUACGACGUUCGGACACACCGUUUCGCUGAGGUGUUCCAGGCGGCGUGAGCUGUGAAACGAUUCCACAUUUCCUUAAGUGUGUACCAAAUUCGUGACUUAAGUAUUCUCCUCCACGAUCUGAUCGUAAGAAUUUUAUCUUUCGGUCACGUUGAUUCUCUACCUCAUUCUGAAAUUCCUUGAACUUUUCAAAGGUCUCAGACUUGUGUUUCAUUAAGUAGACAUACCCAUAUCUACUCAAGUCAUCUGUGAGAGUGAGAACAUAACGAUAUCCUCCGUGAGCCUCAACGCUCAUUGGACCGCACACAUCAGUAUGUAUGAUUUCCAACAAGUUGGUUGCUCGCUCCAUUGUUCCGGAGAACGGAGUCUUGGUUAUUUUGCCCAAAAGGCAUGGUUCGCACGUGUCAAACGAUUCAUAAUCAAGAGACUCUAAAAGUCCAUCGGCAUGGAGCUUCUUCAUGCGCUUGACACCAAUGUGACCAAGGCGGCAGUGGCACAAGUAUGUGGGACUAUCGUUAUCAACUUUAAAUCUUUUGGCAUCUACACUAUGAACAUGUGUAAUAUUACGCUCGAGAUUCAUUAAGAAUAAACCAUUGACCAUCGGAGCAUGACCAUAAAACAUAUCUCUCAUAUAAAUCGAACAACCAUUAUUCUCAGACUUAAAUGAGUAGCCAUCUCGUAUUAAACAAGAUCCUGAUACAAUGUUCAUGCUCAAACUUGGCACUAAAUAACAAUUAUUAAGGUUCAAAACUAAUCCCGUAGGUAAAUGUAGAGGCAGCGUGCCGACGGCGAUCACAUCGACUCUGGAACCAUUCCCGACGCGCAUCGUCACCUCGUCCUUCGCCAGUCUCCGUUUAUUCCGCAGCUCCUGCUGUGAGUUACAAAUAUGAGCAACGACACCGGUAUCAAAUACCCAGGAGUUACUACGAGUACUGGUAAGGUACACAUCAAUCACAUGUAUAUCAAAUAUACCUUUGGUGUUGCCGGCCUUCUUAUCCGCUAAGUAUUUGGGGCAGUUCCGCUUCCAGUGACCCUUCCCCUUGCAAUAAAAGCACUCAGUCUCAGGCUUGGGUCCAUUCUUUGACUUCUUCCCGGUAACUGGCUUACCAGGCGCGGCAACAUCUUUGCCGUCCUUCUUGAAGUUCUUCUUACCCUUGCCCUUCUUGAACUUAGUGGUCUUAUUGACCAUCAACACUUGAUGUUAUUUCUUGAUUUCAUCCUCUGCUGACUUCAGCAUCGAGAACACUUCAGGAAUGGUCUUUUCCAUUCCCUACAUGUUGUAGUUCAUCACAAAGCUCUUGUAGCUUGGUGGGAGCGACUGGAGGAUUCUGUCAAUGACCGCCUCAUCUAGGAGGUUAAUGUUCAGCUGGGUCAUACGGUUGUGCAACCCAGACAUCUUCAGGAUGUGCUCACUGACAGAACUAUUUUCCUCCAUCUUACAACUGUAGAACUUGUCGGAGACAUCAUAUCUCUCGACCCGGGCAUGAGCUUGGAAAACUAGUUUCAGCUCUUCGAACAUCUCAUAUGCUCCGUGAUGCUCAAAACGCUUUUGGAGCCCCGGUUCUAAGCUGUAAAGCAUGCCGCACUGAACGAGGGAGUAAUCAUCAGCACGAGACUGCCAAGCAUUCAUAAUGUCUUGGUUCUCUGGGACGGGAGCGUCACCUAGCGGUCCUUCUAGGACAUAUUGUUUCCUGGCAGCUAUGAGGAUGAUCCUCAGGUUCCGGACCCAGUCCGUAUAGUUGCUGCCAUCAUCUUUCAGCUUGGUUUUCUCUAGGAACGCGUUGAAGUUCAUGUUGACAUUAGCGUUGGCCAUUUGAUCUACAAGACAUAUUUGCAAAGGUUUUAGACUAAGUUCAUGAUAAUAAAGUUCUAAUCAAAUUAUGAACUCCCACUUAGAUUAGACAUCCCUCUAGUCAUCUAAGUGUUACACGAUCCGAGUCGACUAGCCCGUGUCCGAUCAUCACGUGAGACGGACUAGUCAUCGUCGGUGAACAUCUUCAUGUUGAUCGUAUCUUCCAUACGACUCGUGUUCGACCUUUCGGUCUCCGUGUUCCGAGGCCAUGUCUGCACAUGCUAGGCUCGUCAAGUUAACCCUAAGUGUUUUCACUGUGUAAAACUGUCUUACACCCGUUGUAUGUGAACGUAAGAAUCCAUCACACCCGAUCAUCACGUGGUGCUUAGAAGCGACGAACUGUAGCAACGGUGCACAGUUAGGGGAGAACACUUCUUGAAAUUUUGUAAGGGAUCAUCUUAUUUACUACCGUCGUCCUAAGUAAACAAGAUGCAUAAACAUAAUAAACAUCACAUGCAAUUAUAUAGUUGUGACAUGAUAUGGCCAAUAUCAUAUAGCUCCAUUGAUCUUCAUCUUCGGGGCUCCAUGAUCAUCUUGUCACCGGCUUGACACCAUGAUCUCCAUCAUCGUGUCUUCAUGAAGUUGUCACGCCAACGACUACUUCUACUUCUAUGACUAACGUUUAGCAAUAAAGUAAAGUAGUUUACAUGGCGUUAUUCAAUGACACGCAGGUCAUACAAAAAUUAAAGACAACUCCUAUGGCUCCUGCCGGUUGUCAUACUCAUCGACAUGCAAGUCGUGAAUCCUAUUACAAAGAACAUGAUCUCAUACAUCACAAUUCAUCAUUCAUCACAACUUCUGGCCAUAUCACAUCACAUGAUCAAUCGCUGCAAAAACAAGUUAGACGUCCUCUAAUUGUUGUUGCAUCUUUUACGUGGCUGCAAUUGGGUUCUAGCAAGAACGUUUUCUUACCUACGAAUCACCACAACGUGAUUUUGUCAACUUCUAUUUACCCUUCAUAAGGGCCCUGUUCAUCGAUUCCGCUCCAACUAAAAUGGGAGAGACAGACACCCGCCAGCCACCUUAUGCAACUAGUGCAUGUCAGUCGGUGGAACCGGUCUCACGUAAGCGUACGUGUAAGGUUGGUCCGGGCCGCUUCAUCCCACAAUACCGUUGAGCAAGAAAAGACUAGUAGAGGCAAGUAAGAUGACAAAAUCCACGCCCACAACAAAAUUGUGUUCUACUCGUGCAAAGAGAACUACGCAUAGACCUAGCUCAUGAUGCCACUGUUGGGGAACGUUGCAGAAAAUUAAAUUUUUUCCUACGGUUUCACCAAGAUCCAUCUAUGAGUUCAUCUAAGCAACGAGUCAAGGGAGAGAGUUUGCAUCUACAUACCACUUGUAGAUCGCGUGCGGAAGCUUGCAAGGUGAUGAUGUAGUCGUACUCGACGUGAUUCGAAUCACCGAUGACCAAGUGCUGAACGGACAGCACCUCCGCGUUCAACACACGUACGGGACGGGAGACGUCUCCUCCUUCUUGAUCCAGCAAGGGGGGAUGAGAGGUUGAGGAAGACAGCUCCACCGGCAGCACGACGGCGUGGUGAUAGUGGAGAGGCAGUACUCCGACAGGGCUUCACCAAG
rnacentral:lncRNA from 1 species